UGCAGUCGAACGAUGAUCCUCAGCUUGCUGGGGGGAUUAGUGGCGAACGGGUGAGUAACACGUGAGUAACCUGCCCUUGACUCUGGGAUAAGCCUGGGAAACUGGGUCUAAUACCGGAUAUGACUGCUCCGCGCAUGCGGUGGUGGUGGAAAGCUUUUGCGGUUUUGGAUGGACUCGCGGCCUAUCAGCUUGUUGGUGGGGUAAUGGCCUACCAAGGCGACGACGGGUAGCCGGCCUGAGAGGGUGACCGGCCACACUGGGACUGAGACACGGCCCAGACUCCUACGGGAGGCAGCAGUGGGGAAUAUUGCACAAUGGGCGAAAGCCUGAUGCAGCGACGCCGCGUGAGGGAUGACGGCCUUCGGGUUGUAAACCUCUUUCAGUAGGGAAGAAGCGAAAGUGACGGUACCUGCAGAAGAAGCGCCGGCUAACUACGUGCCAGCAGCCGCGGUAAUACGUAGGGCGCAAGCGUUAUCCGGAAUUAUUGGGCGUAAAGAGCUCGUAGGCGGUUUGUCGCGUCUGCUGUGAAAGACCGGGGCUCAACUCCGGUUCUGCAGUGGGUACGGGCAGACUAGAGUGAUGUAGGGGAGACUGGAAUUCCUGGUGUAGCGGUGAAAUGCGCAGAUAUCAGGAGGAACACCGAUGGCGAAGGCAGGUCUCUGGGCAUUAACUGACGCUGAGGAGCGAAAGCAUGGGGAGCGAACAGGAUUAGAUACCCUGGUAGUCCAUGCCGUAAACGUUGGGCACUAGGUGUGGGGGACAUUCCACGUUUUCCGCGCCGUAGCUAACGCAUUAAGUGCCCCGCCUGGGGAGUACGGCCGCAAGGCUAAAACUCAAAGGAAUUGACGGGGGCCCGCACAAGCGGCGGAGCAUGCGGAUUAAUUCGAUGCAACGCGAAGAACCUUACCAAGGCUUGACAUGAACCGGUAAUGCCUGGAAACAGGUGCCCCGCUUGCGGUCGGUUUACAGGUGGUGCAUGGUUGUCGUCAGCUCGUGUCGUGAGAUGUUGGGUUAAGUCCCGCAACGAGCGCAACCCUCGUUCUAUGUUGCCAGC
rnacentral:rRNA from 1 species